GGUUGUGUACCAUAGUGGUAAGGAUCAGGGCUCGUAACCAGGAGGUUGCUGGUUCGAUUCUCUUCUGGGGCA